ensembl:lncRNA
AGCAAGGGCCAGAAACUGAAGUGAAUUUCUCAGGGUUUACUGGGAGUUGGGAAAAAAACCUGAACUGCUGACCUGGGCAAAUUCUCACAGAUGAGAGAUUUAUGAAGUCCAGCCUUCCUGAAGGGAGAUUCCAGCAUGCAACUGGUGCUAUGGAGAUGGCGAUUCACACAAGCUGGGAUUUGGUUCUCACCUUCAAAGAAAAUGUCCUGAAGUAA